GAUGAAGAACGCAGCGAAAUGCGAUAAGUAAUGUGAAUUGCAGAAUUCAGUGAAUCAUCGAAUCUUUGAACGCACAUUGCGCCCGCCAGUAUUCUGGCGGGCAUGCCUGUUCGAGCGUCAUUACAACCCUCAGGCCCCCGGGCCUGGCGUUGGGGAUCGGCGGAGCCCCCCGUGGGCAUACGCCGUCCCCCAAAUGCAGUGGCGGUCCCGCCGCAGCUUCCAUCGCGUAGUAGCUAACACCUCGCGACUGGAGAGCGGCGCGGCCACGCCGUAAAACACCCAACUCUUCUGAAGUUGACCUCGAAUCAGGUAGGAAUACCCGCUGAACUUAAGCAUAUCAAUAAGCGGAGGA
rnacentral:misc_RNA from 1 species